rnacentral:rRNA from 1 species
GAUGAACGCUGGCGGCGUGCCUAAUACAUGCAAGUCGAGCGAACAGACGAGGAGCUUGCUCCUCUGACGUUAGCGGCGGACGGGUGAGUAACACGUGGAUAACCUACCUAUAAGACUGGGAUAACUUCGGGAAACCGGAGCUAAUACCGGAUAAUAUAUUGAACCGCAUGGUUCAAUAGUGAAAGACGGUUUUGCUGUCACUUAUAGAUGGAUCCGCGCCGCAUUAGCUAGUUGGUAAGGUAACGGCUUACCAAGGCAACGAUGCGUAGCCGACCUGAGAGAGGAGUGGGCAACACUGAAACGAAAACCGGGCCAGGACCCUAAGGGGGGGAACAGGGAGGAAAUUUUCACAAAGGGGGGAAAGCUGGACGAGCAAACGCGGGGGGGGUAAGAAAGGUUUUGGGUUGGAAAAACUUUUUUAUUGGGAAAAAAAAAAUGAUAAAGAAACGAUGACCGUUUGACGGGAACAAAAGAAGAAGGCCCGGCUAACUUAGUG